ACAAGGAAGGAAAAGCCUCCAGGAGGAAGUGACGUCUACCCAGACUAAAUCCUGACGUCAGUCUUAUGAAGCCUGAGGAAAGGAACAGCUACAUUUUUAAGGAUACAAACAUUGUGUUCCAGAAAACCGGAGCUUAAAACUGUCAGGAUACCAGCAAGAGUGGACACAGAGAUGGAAGGUGCCAGAGCAGCUGGUGUAAAUACUGAUGGACAAACAAGGCCCUCAUUAAAUAACUAUAUUUAUUAUUAUAUAUUAUCACAGCACUGGAAGCACAA